CUACCAUGCAGUCACGGGGGUCCCGCAAGGGAUAACCGGCGAACGGGUGCGUAACACGUUGACCAACCUGCCCUCGUGUGGGGGAUAGCCGGGCUAACGCCCGGGUAAUACCGCAUACGUUCUCUUUGGGGAGUCCCGAGGAGAGGAAAGCUCCGGCGCACGGGGAGGGGGUCGCGGCCUAUCAGCUUGUUGGCGGGGUAACGGCCCACCAAGGCGACGACGGGUAGCUGGUCUGAGAGGAUGGCCAGCCACAUUGGGACUGAGAGACGGCCCAGACUCCUACGGGAGGCAGCAGUGGGGAAUCUUGCGCAAUGGUCGAAAGACUGACGCAGCGACGCCGCGUGCGGGAGGACGCCUUUCGGGGUGUAAACCACUGUUGCCCGGGACGAAUUGCGCGAUUGCUCGCGCGUGACGGUACCGGGUGAGGAAGCACCGGCUAACUCCGUGCCAGCAGCCGCGGUAAUACGGAGGGUGCGAGCGUUGUCCGGAAUCAUUGGGCGUAAAGGGCGCGUAGGUGGCCCGGUCAGUCUUUGGUGAAAGCGCGGGGCUCAACCCUGCGUCGGCCAGGGAUACUGCCGCGGCUGGAGCACUGUANAGGCAGGCGGAAUUCCGGGUGUAGCGGUGGAAUGCGUAGAGAUCCGGAAGAACACCGGUGGCGAAAGCGGCCUGCUGGGCAGUUUUUGCUGACACUGAGGCGCGACAGCUUGGGGAGCAAACAAGGAUUAGAUACCCUGGUAGUCCACGCCGUUAAACGAUGGGCACUUAGGCGCUUGGGGGAGCGACCCCCCCGAGGGCCGGCGCUAACGCAAUUAAGUGCCCCGCCUUGGGGGAAUACGGCCCGCAAGGGCUUA
rnacentral:rRNA from 1 species